UACGGAGGGUGCAAGCGUUAUCCGGAAUCACUGGGUUUAAAGGGUGCGUAGGCGGUGGCGUAAGUCAGUUGUGAAAUUCCCCGGCUUAACCGGCGGGACUGCGAUUGAUACUGCGUUACUUGAAUCAGGUUGAGGUAGGCGGAAUGUGACAUGUGGCGGUGAAAUGCUUAGAUAUGUCAUAGAACACCGAUUGCGAAGGCAGCUCGCUAAACUGUAACUGACGCUGAGGCACGAAAGCGUGGGGAUCGAACAGG
rnacentral:rRNA from 1 species